rnacentral:rRNA from 1 species
AACGCGAAGAACCUUACCUGGGUUUGACAUCGCCGGAAAUCCUUCAGAGAUGGGGGGUCCCUUCGGGGGUCGGUGACAGGUGGUGCAUGGCUGUCGUCAGCUCGUGUCGUGAGAUGUUGGGUUAAGUCCCGCAACGAGCGCAACCCUUGUCCUAUGUUGCCAGCGGGUUAUGCCGGGGACUCAUGGGAGACUGCCGGGGUCAACUCGGAGGAAGGUGGGGAUGACGUCAAGUCAUCAUGCCCCUUAUGUCCAGGGCUUCACGCAUGCUACAAUGGCCGGUACAGAGGGCUGCGAUGCCGUGAGGUGGAGCGAAUCUCGUAAAGCCGGUCUCAGUUCGGAUUGGGGUCUGCAACUCGACCCCAUGAAGUCGGAGUCGCUAGUAAUCGCAGAUCAGCAACGCUGCGGUGAAUACGUUCCCGGGCCUUGUACACACCG